rnacentral:misc_RNA from 1 species
GAUGAAGAACGUAGCAAAAUGCGAUACUUGGUGUGAAUUGCAGAAUCCCGUGAACCAUCGAGUUUUUGAACGCAAGUUGCGCCCGAAGCCUUUUGGCCGAGGGCACGUCUGCCUGGGCGUCACGCAUCGCGUCGCCCCCCACAAUUCUCCGUAAAGGGAACGUGUGUUUUGGGGGCGGAUAUUGGUCUCCCGUGCUCAUGGCGUGGUUGGCCGAAAUAGGAGUCCUUUCGAUGGACGCACGAACUAGUGGUGGUCGUAAAAACCCUCGUCUUUUGUUUCGUGCUGUUGCUCGCAAGGUAAACUCUUUAAAAACCCCAAUGUGUCGUCUCUUGACGACGCUUCGACCGCGACCCCAGGUCAGGCGGGACUACCCGCUGAGUUUAAGCAUAUCAAUAAGCGGAGA